CGGUCGCAAAUUGCGAGAAUUUGGGAAGGGAAUCUUUAUCUUCUCGUCUAGUUCUCCGAGGUUGAAGGCUCGGCCUGCUCAGAGAAGGAAACUGAGGUCCACCGAGUUGGAGAAACCUACUCAACACCAGAGUUUCCUGAAUAAGUUUUUCCCAAGUUCUGUGUUAUUCUUUUUGAUGAAAGGAUACUGGCUUCCCUACAAUCAUCUUUUCAACUUCUAAAAUGUUUAAUUUUUUAAAUUGAGGUAAUGCUUUAAAAAUCAAUAAAGCUAUAAUACAAUUCUAAAUAGAA
rnacentral:lncRNA from 10 species